rnacentral:rRNA from 1 species
AGAGUUUGAUCCCUGGCUCAGGAUUAACGCUGGCGGUGUGCCUUAUACAUGCAAGUCGAGCGUGCCCGCAAGGGUAUCGACGGCAAACGGGUGAGUAACAAAUAGGGAAUCUGCCCUCAAGUUCGGGAUAACCAGUCGAAAGAUUGAACAAUACCGGAUAAUGUUGCCGAAGGACAACCUUCGUAAAGAAAGGCGGCGCAAGCUGUCGCUUUUGGAUGAACCUAUUCACUAUCAGCUAGUUGGUGAGGUAACGGCUGCACCAAGGCUAUGACGGUUAGCUGGUCUGAGAGGACGGUCAGCCACAUUGGGACUGAGACACGGCCCAGACUCCUACGGGAGGCAGCAGUCGGGAAUUUUUGUCAAUGGGCGAAAGCCUGAACGAGCGACACCGCGUGAACGACGAAGAUCUUAGGAUUGUAAAGUUCUUUUGCUUGAGAAGAACACGGUUGCGACAACAUCAAUACCGUCUGACGGUACCAAGCGAAUAAGCUCCAGCCAACUACGUG